GAAAAUCCACCGAAGCUUAUUGGAAUGUCUGGCAUCGUGUAUUCCAGUGAAAUCCCCCAGCGGAAGCGACCUUUUGUGGUUGUUGUAUUACUUAGCACGAACAUACAUCGAAGUCAGACAAGAAGAUGUAUCCCAGAAAUUGGAGAGCCUUGCGUCUAAACUCGUGAAUUCGAACAAUCCCGAUGAUCCAGUGCCUGUCGUGGAGUUGAAAGGGUGCAGUUAGUAUGCCGAGGUUGUGGAAAACACAGGAUGUUGUCUUCACAGUUUUAAACCUGCCAAGUAGAGAAAAAUGUCUUCAAACGGUGGAAAAUAUGCUGCUAAACUACUUCGAGCUGGAAGAUAAGGAACUUAAAUCUUCAUUUUGUGUCUGUGAAGAAAAAGAGAAAGAUAUCGUAGAAUUGCGACAGCCAAUGAAACUACCAUCAAGUCUAAUUUGCAACAUCCUCCCAGUAACAAAGAAUGAGGAAAAACAGCAUGUUCGCCUUAAGUUACAGGAAUUAAUUGGCGUUCACGACCUGUUGGGACGAAGACAUACAUACAAACUUUCAGCUUUUAUAACACACUAUGGAAUUGAUGCAAAACAGCAAAAG